UACGUAGGAGACGAGCGUUGUCCGGAAUUACUGGGCGUAAAGCGCGUGUAGGCGGAUGAGCAAGUCUGCUGUGAAAGCUCCUGGCUUAACCGGGAGUGGUCGGUGGAAACUGCUCGUCUGGAGGACGGUAGAGGUAGGUAGAAUUCCCGGUGCAGUGGUGAAAUGCGUAGAGAUCGGGAGGAAUACCUGUGGCGAAGGCGGCCUACUGGGCCGGACCUGACGCUGAGACGCGAAGGCGUGGGGAGCGAACGGG
rnacentral:rRNA from 1 species